rnacentral:sRNA from 1 species
CAUUUACUUAUUAUGUACGUACAUACACAAUUUAACACACCUCAUCAGCAGCCUCACACUCCAAAAUGCGAGAUGUCCGGAUUGCUCGCAGAGAGGCAAGACGAUGGAUAGACCUCUCAGCAAAUGUCCUGUUAGGUACAUCAUCAGGUCCUAGCUUAGCAAUUGAUGGGAUUGUUUCGAAAGCUAAAAGCUGGAGAGCUAAUGGGAAACCAUGGAGUGCAUAAGACCCUACAAGUAUACCCCUUAUUAGUUUCUGAGCAUCGUAAGGAGUUUGGAAAUUUGCUAUCCUCCCCAAAGUACGGGUAAAGGACACCCUUCCCCAUGGGUAUUUGCAGAAAAACUCCAGGUUCUUAGUCAUCUCGACAGUCUUCGAAGUAGGCCUGUUGGGGUUACUGUGGGCCGCUACCACACCGUCAACCAAAAUAAUAAGAGAUAGUGCCAGUUGCUUCCACCCCUCCAUGCUUUCCUCCUCCUGCAGCCAGCUCACCAAAUCAGCAAUUGUUAGAACCGUGUUCCCAAACCUCUCAUGAAACAGAGUAUUCCAAACACUCUCACACUCAGGUUUCACACUGAUAACAUCAUCAACGUCUUUCUUCUUGGGAUACUUCCCACAUUCCAGCCCAGUUAAGAUACUAAAUUCUCUUAAUCCAAAUCUGAUUGGAUGACCGCCGAAUACAAUCCACAUCUCAUUCACCUUCUUUGUCACUAACUGACGGCAUAUUAGUCCAAGGACAAGCUUAGCAUUGAAAGAUGCCUUGUUUUUGGGUAUUUUAAAAAGUUUCCCAAAUGGAGAAUUGAGAAGAAACUGCAUCUCUGGUUUCCCCUUUAGUACUUUUGCUAUGUCAGAAAUGUACUCCGGUUUAGAGUACGCGUUCAUCUUCGUCUCGGAAGGGUACCGGUCUAGAGCAAAGAGUCUUGGUGGUAACUCUUCAACUGUAAGAUCUUCAGUCGGAGCAACACUUGGACUACCUGCAAUUAAAAGUCAUAUACUGUUGAGCAAACAGAAGUAGUGUACGUACACAGACAUUUUCCAGAUUAUAACUCAAAAUCAUAUUUUUGGCGGAAACAGAGAUUUCCAAUUCUACUUCUCAAUUUUUCAUCCUAAAGAUAUGCUAAAUUCCGACAAAUUCUAACACUUUAAUCAAACAAGCUUUACAAUUCUGAUACACCCAAAGACAACAAACGGUAAAUUAGAGAUUCUAACCCAGUUCCUCCGUUGCCUUUGUCGCAGAGCGUUUUCUCCGCGGGGAAACUCUUAAUACACGCUUCUCCUUCCCUGGACCAUGCUGCUUCCUCGGGACUUCGUCGUUAGCUUUAUUCCCAGCCAUAGCUAAAGAUGCUAUCUCGCCGGAGGUUCAAAUUUCGCCGGAAAAAACAGUAACUUUCUCUUGGCUUCGCCGGGAAAAACAGUAACUUUCUCUUGGCUUCGCCGGGAAAAACAGUAACUUUCACUUCACCGGAUGUGGGAGUUCAGUGGCACAAUUCAACUACCCAACAAUUCGAAGUUAUGUCGAAUUUUGAAGCAAUGGAUACUGAAUUUUGUUUCGCUUUCUGAUUCUCUCUCAAUCUCUCCGUUAUUCUCUUUUUCGUUUUCUCGGUUUCUUCGUUUCAGUUUUUUUUUUUUUGUCUUUUUCAAAACUGAACCGCAUCAACUAAACCGAAACCAACUGCUGUAGGGUUUGGUUUACGCCGUCAACUUAACCGAUACGAACUGCUGCACAGUUUGGUUUGUGCCAUUAUUAAGUUUUCUCAGGGUAAUUUGGUCCGAAAUUGAAUGAAAAGACAAAACGUGAAAACCAGUUCUCACUUUGACAAACGGUGAGAGCAAAUCUUUUUUCGUCCACUUUUGUGAAAAUUUCUUUUAAGUAUAU